rnacentral:lncRNA from 1 species
CCCCUUCCCCCAUCUCUCUCCUCUCUCUCUCUCUUGAUCGAUCCGCCAUAGCCAAUCUUGAGCAGAUGUUUUGUUGUCUUCAAUUGUCGAUGGAUGUUCUUCGUUCGAUUCAAACAUGCCUUGCGGAAGAUCGCUCAACAUCUUCGAAAAACAAAAAUAAGGUAAUUUGUUGUUCUUCAUUUUGUAGUGGACAAUUUACCCCAAUUUACUGUUUAUCAGAUGAUAAAUUUUGGAAUUUCAAUUCAAACAAGGGAAGAAAAGUAAGCCCCCACCAUUAGUUUUAAAUAGUGGAAAUAAAUCAGAAGCAUUCCAUACUAAUUGCAAAAUUAUGAAAAAUGCAAGUAUGGUAUUUCGAUUGCAAAUCAGAUGACCUAAAAGAGCAGAAACUUGAAAGGCUUCUUUGCAAAGAUCAAGAACACAAUUUAGGUACUUGAUUUUGAUUUGACAUUUUUUUGGUUUUUGUCAUCUGCUUGACUUUGUCUUGUGAUUUAGCUGGAAACCGGAGCUCCGGAUUUGGGGUUUUCAAAGAGGUUUUGACAGGUUAAGCAAACUAGGUUUGUGGUCUUUUUUCGAUUUCGUAGGACAACUCCUCCAUUUGUUGUUUUCAAUUAUUACUUUAUCUGCUCUAUCUAUGUUUAUGUGAGAAGAACAUUCAUAUUUGUUCAAAUAUGUGAUAAAUUAUUUGAUUCCUCACUGUUUCAAGGAUGGGAUGAAAUGUCGUGAACGUGUUGUAUUUGAUUACGUGAAUUUUCAUCUAUUCUUGUCUAUAAAGUGGCAUGUUCUGUUUUAACUUUUGAGAUGCUUUAGAGUGAGAUAAAAAUGCUAACUUCAUUGCCAUUCGUCUCAUAGUGUCAGUUCAAACUAUUGUAAUCCACUCUGUUUUGUUCUGCUAACGAGUGUCGAAUACUGUCUCCAUGCAUUUCUGUUUGUUUGAGUCUCAUUUUCUUUACAAAUAAAUGUAUGCCAAUUGUAAUGAUCUCUUAAGUAGGAUUUUAAGACACGAGUUGGUGUUUCGUUUGAUAAUGCGAAAAUAUGCAAUUACAAGGACCAAUAAUAUAAUCCCAAUUCUUUUGAAUUAACUUUGUGCAGAGAAAGAAAGAGUACACUUAGGUGACAUUACAAAAUUCAAUCUAAAUCAGAAGGUAGGUGUUUGCUUAAAGCCAUCGUCGCAUCCUUAUUGUCGGACGAUGAUCAGUUUAGAGAUGCCACUUCCCACAAGGUAAUACAUAAUAAUCCCGAGUCUUUCAACUUAAC